GACGAACGCUGGCGGCGUGCUUAACACAUGCCAGUCGAACGGUGAAGCGCCUUCCUUUUUGGUGGGUGUGGAUGAGUGGCGAACGGGUGGGUAACACGUGAGUAACCUGCCCCCUUCUGCUGGAUAACCGCAUGAAAGUGUGGCUAAUACGGGAUAUUCUGGGUCUGUCGCAUGAUGGGUCUGGGAAAGAUAUUGUUUCGGUGGGGGAUGGGCUCGCGGCCUAUCAGCUUGUUGGUGGGGUGAUGGCCUACCAAGGCAGUGACGGGUAGCCGGCCUGAGAGGGUGGACGCUCACACAGGGAAUGAGACCCCGGACAGCUGCAUACGGGAGGAAGCAGUGAGGAAUAUUGCACAAGGGGCGCAAGCUUGAUGCAGCGACGCCGCGUGAGGGAGGGAGGAGUUCGGGUUGGGAACCUCUUUCGGCAGGGAAGCAUGCCUGCUUCGAUUGAGGGUGGGUUGACGGAAGCUGGAUAAGAAGCGCGGGCUAAUUACGG
rnacentral:rRNA from 1 species